rnacentral:rRNA from 1 species
CACACCGCCGUCACAUCACGAAAGUUUGUUGCACCAGAAGCAGGUAGCUUAACCUUCGGGAGGGCGCUUGCCACGGUGUGGCCGAUGACUGGGGUG